rnacentral:tRNA from 2 species
UGGGUUGUAGCCAAGCGGUAAGGCAUCAGAUUUUGAUUCUGACAUGCACUGGUUCGAAUCCAGUCUACCCAGCCA